GAUGAACGCUGGCGGCGUGCCUAAUACAUGCAAGUCGAGCGAAUGGAUUAAGAGCUUGCUCUUAUGAAGUUAGCGGCGGACGGGUGAGUAACACGUGGGUAAUCUGCCCAUAAGACUGGGAUAACUCCGGGAAACCGGGGCUAAUACCGGAUAACAUUUUGAACCGCAUGGUUCGAAAUUGAAAGGCGGCUUCGGCUGUCACUUAUGGAUGGACCCGCGUCGCAUUAGCUAGUUGGUGAGGUAACGGCUCACCAAGGCAACGAUGCGUAGCCGACCUGAGAGGGUGAUCGGCCACACUGGGACUGAGAAACGGCCCAGACUCCUACGGGAGGCAGCAGUAGGGAAUCUUCCACAAUGGACGAAAGUCUGACGGAGCAACGCCGCGUGAGUGAUGAAGGCUUUCGGGUCGUAAAACUCUGUUGUUAGGGAAGAACAAGUGCUAGUUGAAUAAGCUGGCACCUUGACGGUACCUAACCAGAAAGCCACGGCUAACUACGUGCCAGCCGCCGCAGUAA
rnacentral:rRNA from 1 species